AUUCCUGUGGGUGGUGUACGGUGUAGCUUUGGUACAGGCAGGGUGGGUCCGUUUGGGCAAGGUGGGUCCGUUUGGGCAGCACGUGUGAGAUUGGGUCAGAGGUAGUUAGUGAUAUAUAUUUCUAUCUACAGUUAGUUGGUUUUGGUAGCGAUAGUAUAGAGGUAUGUAGCUGUAGAGUUUUUUUCAGCUUUCUUUACUAUCUCGUGCAUAUCAUUACUGUAGACUUAGUGGGUCGGCGGUUGAGGUCGGCGACAGUACCCACUAACGACUAUUCUGUUUUGCAGUAGUUCUCACACCUAGUUGUUGACACCUUUUUGUAGACCCUUCGUCUGCGACUACUGUUGUUGCUGACUCGGACCAUGGGAAGGGAGUCGCGAGCUAGAUCCUUACCAGUCUUAUCGCCGUGCCAGAGGAGUACCAUCCAGAGAUAGUUUUGGGGUGUUCUUAUGUACAUACUUUUAUGCUAGUGGUACUUGCUAGAGCGAGGUGGUUGAUAGCUUUUGUAUGUACAGUGGACCUUGUUAUUGUUUUAUAUAUAUAUUCAUAUUUUAGUUUAGCAGCUCUUUACUUCUGGUUGUGGCUAUAAUUUGAUUACAGAUACAGCUAUCGCUUCGUAUACACGAAAAAUUUCUAUGUAUACGGUGGGUCUGUUGGCGUGCUCGAGAAAACAGGGUAAUUCGUGGUGUGACAAAAUCAUACCAUAAUUUAUCCUACAUUUUAUUGUAAUAAAAUAAAAGCGAAAGAAAUGAAUUAUAGUGGCUUAAAGAUAAGAAAAGAGCGAUACUAACUACCUAGAUACUCGAACACUCUGCUGUCCUGCUGUACUCGCUAAUAUGGUUGUUUUACAAUAGGUGUCCUCACUCAGAUAUAGAGAUUUUAAUUCUCAGUUAAUUUUUUGUAGUACUCGUUUGUCGCUUUUAUCGUGACUCAUCGUUGAUCAUCAUAAUCACCUCGGUUUCUGUCAGGAAGGCUUCAUUUCGCUGUUUCGACGAUGUCACUCCUUUGGGCCUUGUAUUCUAGUAUUUUUCAUGGGCCCAAUGUGCUCCGUGACUAUUUUUGAUGCUACGGAUAGAGAGCAUGGGCUUCACUGUGAUGAGACCAUGCUAUUGGUGCCCUCGGUUGAUCUUGAAAUCGCGCGAUAGCGGUGAUGUUGCCUUUUUUGUGUGUAAAUUCAUGAGUUUAUGCUAUUUAUGUAUUAUUUGAGGGCUUCCAUGCAAUUGUGACAGCAUAGGCUGCCUCGGGCAGUGUGAGACCACCUCUUGUGACCCUCUGAACUGAUUGUCCAAGUCCUCGAUGCUCUCGCAUUUCGGAGCAUUUUUUCGAUAAAAUUGUCGGCGAAACGUGUUUAUCGAUAUGGGACUCACUUUGUGGAGUUGUGAAUGCCCUAGUUUUGUUGUUGAGCCUUGUUGGCUGGUUUUCCUUGCUGUCCCAAGUUUCGGAGACAACGAAUGAGCGACGGAAGGUUCCGAUACCGAAAACGGCAUUUUCGGGAACUCGGGAUGUCAUUACGGGUGUGUUUAUGUUUUUAUGCACCCUGGACUUAUGUUUGCUAUCUGACCACCUAAAUUGGUGUGUUUAUGGAUAGCGGGUGACUUGGGUUGCUUAUUGGUACCUUCCCGGGUAUUUUCUUGAGUUCGGAAUCGUUCCGGUGGACUUUUCGAAAAUUCUGACAAUUUUAGGAUUGUGAGUUUCAUAUUUUCGAGUCGACUCGAUGGACCAUGACUUGGUGGAUCUUUCGUAGGUCCAGUCGACAUUCAUGCAAGCCUUGGGAGUUAGGCUCUUCUCCAAUUCAAGUGGGUGCUUCAAUCCGAAGUCGGUAUAGUGAACUAGCUUGAUGAUAUUUCUCUUUUCCGUUUUCCUUGCAUGUUAUGGAUAAGCGUGAGUCCACUUGACUUCUAGUUAUUGUUCCCUACUUUCAUUCCUGCAUAUGAUAUUAGUAGAGUGGUGUGGUGUAUCUUGCAUGAUCUUACGGUGAGACCUGAUUGGUCAGUGUUGAUCGGCUCGACGUUCCGAGCGAUCUCUUGGACAUGUGUUAGUUGUUGCUAUUCUCGGCUUGUUGUCAUCCUAUGGAUUGAGCAUUUCGCAUCGAUCGUCACAACUCAUUUAGCACUUUACGUACACCAAUGAUUUAGCCACUGUGGAGGUGUUCUUUUUCGAAAAAGUGGUUGUCUUCUCAACCCAUGAGCCUCUUGCCAGGUGCUUGCGGAGGUUGUGUGCCUGGUGGAUGAGCAUACUGUGACAUUGCCUGCGAUCUUCGGAUCUAUAGAGCAAAGCAAUUGGGUUUUUGGUUUAUUUACAGUUGAUGUGUAUGUUCAUUAUUUGUACUAUCAGUAGUCAUUCAUACUCGUUUAUGGCUAUUCUCCAUUAUUCGCUACUGUACUUGAUAUAUACAUAUCUAUCUGUUGUUCCUCCUUUGCCGGUGAGUACGCCUCGCCUUCGUCGGCGUCCAGUACCUACUAGGAAGGGAGACAUGUUUACAUGUUCUCACCCCCGCCAUUUUUCAGGUGAUCUCAGUGGUGGGAGUCGGGACGGCAUGUGAGGGACGAUAGCUAAGGAGCUAUAGAGGUUCCGACCAGUCAUCAUUCAUUUACGGUUGUUAUGUCUUGACCCUUCUCUUCAUGUUGGUUAAUAAACUAGAGUUUAUGUGGUUCAGUUAUUUGCUCGUUUGAUUGCCGAACUUGGUGGUUUAUGAGUAUUGUGAAUGCUUGAUGAUUCUCAAUAAUUCAAGGUGAUAAUUGUGGUUUAUCUGAGGCAUGUAGUUGAUGGUUUUAUCAUACGUGGUUUUCUACCUCUCGUGGUAGCUAGCUUUUCAAAAGUGAGUUUCCGUGUGGAAAACAAUUUUCAAAUAACUUUUGGAUUUAUCGAUGAUUAGUGUUUUUAAAUAUAGUUUUCGGGUGGAAAAUAUUUUUAAAAAAUAGAAUUGAUUGUUGUAUGUGUAUUAGCAUCAUCCUUUGCCUAAGGAGUGUUUAGAGCAUACAUCACCAUAAGGAUGGUUAGCUGAAUAGUUAUCUAACAUCCGCAUUGUGUAUGUUGUUUGUGUGAGUGGGUGUGUAUGUUGUUGUGUAUGUUGUAUCAGUACGCCGUGCAAAUACAGAAAAAGACUCUGUCAUCGUGGACAAAGAGAUUUUUGUAUCUGUGGCGGGUAUGUUACAUCUUAGGGACAAGUAUAUAUAUAUAUAUAUAUAUAUAUAUAUGGGCAUUUUUGGCUGACCUUAUUUCAAACUGGCCCCUUUUAUUCAAAAAGGCUUUACGAAAGGUCCCCGGGGCGUGACACUCGCCGUCCCUCUAUUUCGGCGAUUGUAGGGAGGAGAUCGUGGUGGGUAUGGGCGGAGAGGUGGGCGAGGGCAAGGGUAAGGCGGCAGAGGAUGGCGACGGCGUGUGUCUGGGUAUAGACAGAGGGGUGGGCGAGGACGAGGCGGCGGCCGAGGGUAUGUGUGUGAGCAUGGAUUAGGUCUUCAGGGAUAUUUUAGAUAUUAAAAAUAAGAUAUAAAUGAAACCCUAACGGAACACUGAUGGCGGUGGCCAAAAUAAAACAUUUUUUAUUUUUCAAUGGGGCAAACUGUAGGUUUUUGAAUGACAGGGGGGGAAGUGAAAAAGCGAGUAUUGACAAUGGGAUUUUUAUAAUUUAGUCAAAAUUAAAUUUUCAUAAUUAAUAAUAAAAUGUUACAACAUUCCCCCACUCAUUUUAUUAAAAAUAUAUAAGAGUUUGAUGGCCAAAGAGGGACCGUUAUACAUAAUGACGGUGUGCUCUGCAUUGAACAUUCACUUAGUAAAACAAUAAUCUCUACUCCAGAGCCAGAGUAGUCUCAAACUUGAACUUUAGCUACUUAGGAAAAAUAGAGAGUCACUGCUCACAUAUAAUAAUCUAGGUGUUGACAUGAGUUUUACUAUCUAGCACGUUAUGGCCUUGUGCUGAUCCUAGUUUUCAUUAGCCUAUUUGAGAAUAAGCCCAUUCUCAUAGGAAGUGACCUCACUUCCAUGCUCACAUAGGUGAAAUCCGUCAAGGGUGUUCCUGUAAUUCUGACAUCCUCCUCAUAAGAGCCACAGAUUUCAUUAAGAGCAAAAACUCAACCCUCUUUUUAUUACAGGAUGAAUGCACCCACACCAUCGGGAUAUAUGAAGAUGCGAUCAUAUAGAUCUAUAUAUUGUGCAUUCUUUACAACCACCAUAUGAUUCGUUUUUUCCACUGAACCCAAUUUUCAGGAUCUCUGAUCAUCAGAUUGGGUUUCCUCAUACGUGGUUCAUAAUUUUAUAGGCUUCAACCCUAUCCCCCUCAAUGUGCUCCUGAUCCUUUCUUUUCCCAAGAUCUUGGUUAAUGGAUAUGUCAGAUUAUCAGUAGAUUUAAUAUAAUCUACGCUGAUAACACAAUUGUUCAUAUAUAAUCUCACAGUAUUGUGUUUUCUUCUCAUGGAACUGGAUUUACUGUUAUAAUAGCGAUUUUUUACUCUACUAAUAGCAGCAGUGCUAUCACAAUGUAUUAACACAGAUGGAAUCUCAGACAAUAAGUCUCUUAACCAACUAGCUUCCUCCCUAGCUGAAGCUAAGACAAUAAACUCUGCUUCCACAGUUGAGUUAGCAAUGAUAGUUAGCUUUUUAAAUUUCCAACAUAUAGCACCACAUGCUAAAGUAAAAAUAUAAUCAGUGGUAGAGAGAGAAUCAUCUGAUAGGGUAAUCCAGUCAGCAUCACUACAACUCUCAAUUAGUACAGUAGGAUACUUCCCAUAAAACAAGCCAUAAGUUUUGGUACCAACGAGAUAUCUCAUCAUACGUUUCAUGGCAUGCUAAUACUCUAUACCAGGGUUGCUUGUAAAUCUACUAAGUAUCCCUACUAUAUAUGCAAUAUUAGGUCUCAUACAAUCAGUCACAAACCGCAAGUUUCCAAUCUUACUAGCAUAUUUUUUUUUAUUCAAAAUUUUACUUUCACUUUUAAUAGGAAAUAAGUGAACACUCGAAUCAAAAGGUAUAGUCACAUGCUUGCAACGAAGAAAGUUAUACUUUCUUAAAAUUUUCUUGAUAUAAUGUGACUGAUGAAGAAAGAUUCUAUCUUGUGUUUUGGUAAUUUUCAUACCCAAAAUAAAUUUAGCCUUAGUAAGAUUCUUUAUUUCAAAAUAAUGAUUUAGCAUAAUCUUUGUCUUAUUGAUAACAUUUAAGUUAAAGACAAAAAUUAGUAAAUCAUCCACAUAAAGGCUAACAAUAAUAUGCAAUUUUUCAAAAGUUUUAUAAUAGAUGCAUUUAUCACACUCGUUUAAUUUAAAGUCAUUCUUAAUUAUGCAAGAAUCAAGUUUUUCAUGCCGCUGUCUAGGUGCCUGCCUUAAGCCAUAAAGGGAUUUGUUUAGUUUGUACACUUUAUUUUCUUAUUGAGACUCAAUGAACCCCUCAGGUUGGUCCAUAUAAAUUUUCUCAUCUAGAUCACCAUUUAGAAAAGCGGUUUUUACAUCUAUCUGAUGAAUUUGUAAACCAUGAAUUACAACAAAAGCAAUCAGAACUCUGAUGGAUGUUACUCUAGUAAUCGGAGAAAAGGUAUCAAGGAAGAUCUUCUUUUUAUUUAUAACCUUUUGCAACAAGUCUUGCUUUAUACUUGUCUACACUCCUAUCCGAUUUUAAUUUCUUUCUGAUGACCCAUUUACAACCAAUUGUUGUAUAGCCUGUAGGUAAAUCCACUAAUUUUCAUGUUUAUUAGAAAUUAAAGAUUCCAUCUCAUUAGAUACAACCUCUUUCCAAAAAAUUGUAUCAUUUGAAGAUAAAACUUCUUGUAAAAAAAUGUGAAUUUUCUUUAAUAUUCAGAACAACAUAAUCAGGGCCAAAAUCUUUUUUUAUUUUGUUUUGUUUGCUUCUUCUAGGUUCAAAAUAUGUUGUUCUUGAUUUUGUAAAAAACAGUUUGAAGAACACGAUUUAUUUGAAACACUUUUAAAAUCUUGACCCUCACUAUUUUUUGAUUUAUAAGGAAACUUCUUUUCAUAAAAAAUAGCAUCUUUUGAUUCAAAAAUCACAUUAUUUUCAAUGUCUAAAAAUCUAUAGGUUGUACUGUUCAAAGUAUAUCCAAGAAAUACACAAGUGACAGCUCUAACACCCAAUUUGAAUUUUGUAGGGUCCGGUAGCCUCACAUAUGCUAGACAACCCCACACUUUAAAAGAUCUCAAAUUUGGCUUAUACUCUUUUCACAAUUCAAAAGGUGUCAUCUUAGACUUCUUAUGUAGCACGUGAUUCAAGACAUAACAUGCAGUUAAAAUACCUUCACCCUAAAGGUUUAAGGAUACACAAGUGUCACCUUUCAUAGCAUUUGUUAGCUCAAUAAGUGUUCUAUAUUUUCUCUCAGCCACUUCAUUAGAGACAAGCGAACAUGGAGCAGUAGUCUCAUGGAUAAUUCCUAAACACUAAACAAAAGAGUUGAAUCCCAUAGAUUCAUACUCACGACCUCGAUCACUUCUAAUUCUCUUAAUCUUUUUACCGAAUUGACUUUCUACUUUAUAGAGGAAAUCUUUAAAUUUUCUCCACGAGUUUGAGUACCUUUAAAUUCACAAUAUUAAUGCAAAUUAGCUCAAGUAAUUCGGUGCUUCUUUCAAUACUCUUAUUAGGUUGUUUAGUGAUUUUUGACUUACUACAUAUGUCACAUUUGUCAAAAUCACUAUUCAAUUUGGAAAUUAAUCAUAAAUUACUCAUCAAGCUAACAUCUUGCAGGCCCUGGAAAGGCACAAUGGCCAAUCCCAUCUCUUCAGCUGAACAAUUUUCGCCGAUCGAGCGAUUGGCGGUAGUCAUUUUAACUGCUUCCUCUCUCUCUCUUCUCUCCUUUUCCAUGGAUUAUUCUUUCCUCCUUUUCGGUCAGCAAGUAUGAUGGUUCUAAUGAUGAUCCUGCACGUAUUUCGUGUGUAUCUCAUAGAUGGAUUUUAAAAAC
rnacentral:lncRNA from 1 species